rnacentral:rRNA from 1 species
UACGUAGGGUGCGAGCGUUGUCCGGAAUUAUUGGGCGUAAAGGAGCUCGUAGGCGGUGUGUCGCGUCGGCCGUGAAAACCUGCAGCUUAACUGUGGGCUUGCGGUCGAUACGGGCAUCACUGGAGUUCGGCAGGGGAGACUGGAAUUCCUGGUGUAGCGGUGAAAUGCGCAGAUAUCAGGAAGAACACCCGUGGCGAAGGCGGCUCUCUGGUACGUGACUGACGCUGAGACGCGAAAGCGUGGGGAGCGAACAGGAUU